CUUGCCCAUGAUGGGUAGCUCAGUUGGUAAAGCACAAGACUCUUAACCUUAGGGUUGUGGGUUCGAGCCCCACAUUGAGCCCCAAGA